CUUUCGCAAAGUUGGCACGCUGCCUGCUUUAGAGACAUCGACAUUACAUAAAGGCAUCGCCCUCAACGACGAGCGCAGUGCCUCCCGGCAGAUCGGGACAAGGACAAAGGCGUCCUCGCUAGGUAACUAGCGGGACGCC
rnacentral:sRNA from 1 species